ensembl:lncRNA
CUCUGUAUUUUUGGUGCAGAACACCUGGCCUUCCAGAAAUAGGAACUGCUAUUAAUAACAAAGGUUUGGCUGAGGCAACCUGAAAUGGUUUUCUCUCAAAGCUCUAUGGGCGACGAGUGGAAGAAGCACUCCAAACACUAUUGGGUUACAGGAGUCUGUCAAGGGAUAUGUGGAGAUUAGUGGUGACGGGACAGGAAGGAGGACAUGCACAGAGCACUGCUACUGUGUCCUGUCACACAUCUGUUUUCGAGCUGUGAUGUGCUUCAGACUAGAACAGGUAAGUAUAGCAAAGUCUCAGGAAUGGCAAACAGAAUUCAUCUUCCUUUCCAGUUCCUAUAGACUAUGUGUGAGCUGGUUACAUGGAGUCCCUCAAUGAAUCACUCCUCUGAAUAGUCAUACCAUUGUGAAAUCUUCCCUUGAAUCAAGGCUGCUCCUCUGAUAUGCUUUAACCAGAUACAGAGGAACCAGGAAGAGAAGAACUGAGGUUUUCCAGCUGAUGGCCCAGCUGAACUGCCCCCAGAAAGCCAGCACCAGCUGUCAGCAUGAGUCAUCAUAAACAUUCUAGCUAGUUAAGCUUUCAGAUAACGCAACCCAAGCAUCGUUACAUAGGGUAGAAGAAACAUCUAGCUGGGCCUAGUCAGCCCCCAGAACAGUAAGAAACAAAAGAAAUAGUUGUUAUUUUAAGUCACUUAGCUUUUAGGUGAUUUGUUAUUCAGCUGGGCUUCCCGGGUGGCUGCCUGCCAAUUCAGGAGAUGUAAGAAAUGCAGAUUCGAUGCCUGGGUUGGGAAGAUCCCUUGGAAGAGGGCAUGGCAACCCACUCCUGUAUUCUUGCCUGGAGAAUCCCACGGACAGAGGAGCCUGGUGGGCUAUGGUUCAUGGGUCACAAAGAGCUGGAUACAACUGAAGCGACUUAACACACACGCACACAUGCAUUAUACAGCUAAGGGACUGCAAAGAAGUAAACAAGAUAUAAGUUUUAAGUCGUGGCCCCUAUCUUCAAGGAGCUCAUGUUAAAGCAAUCUGGACAUUACAACAGAAUAAGAACAAUAUAACCACAAUAGAGGCUCCUGUUAGAAGAGUAAGCACUGUGUACCACUGUAUCUCAUAUAAUCUUCUAAAAUUUUUUAAAUUAAUUUUAAUUUUUUAUAACAGCUUUAAGAUU